rnacentral:rRNA from 1 species
GCUCAGGAUGAACGCUAGCUACAGGCUUAACACAUGCAAGUCGAGGGGCAGCAUUUUAGUUUGCUUGCAAACUAAAGAUGGCGACCGGCGCACGGGUGAGUAACACGUAUCCAACCUGCCGAUAACUCGGGGAUAGCCUUUCGAAAGAAAGAUUAAUAUCCGAUAGUAUAUUAAAACCGCAUGGUUUUACUAUUAAAGAAUUUCGGUUAUCGAUGGGGAUGCGUUCCAUUAGUUUGUUGGCGGGGUAACGGCCCACCAAGACUACGAUGGAUAGGGGUUCUGAGAGGAAGGUCCCCCACAUUGGAACUGAGACACGGUCCAAACUCCUACGGGAGGCAGCAGUGAGGAAUAUUGGUCAAUGGACGAGAGUCUGAACCAGCCAAGUAGCGUGAAGGAUGACUGCCCUAUGGGUUGUAAACUUCUUUUAUAUGGGAAUAAAGUAUUCCACGUGUGGGAUUUUGUAUGUACCAUAUGAAUAAGGAUCGGCUAACUCCGUGCCAGCAGCCGCGGUAAUACGGAGGAUCCGAGCGUUAUCCGGAUUUAUUGGGUUUAAAGGGAGCGUAGGUGGAUUGUUAAGUCAGUUGUGAAAGUUUGCGGCUCAACCGUAAAAUUGCAGUUGAAACUGGCAGUCUUGAGUACAGUAGAGGUGGGCGGAAUUCGUGGUGUAGCGGUGAAAUGCUUAGAUAUCACGAAGAACUCCGAUUGCGAAGGCAGCUCACUAGACUGCAACUGACACUGAUGCUCGAAGGUGUGGGUAUCAGACAGGAUUAGAUACCCUGGUAGUCCACACAGUAAACGAUGAAUACUCGCUGUUUGCGAUAUACAGUAAGCGGCCAAGCGAAAGCAUUAAGUAUUCCACCUGGGGAGUACGCCGGCAACGGUGAAACUCAAAGGAAUUGACGGGGGCCCGCACAAGCGGAGGAACAUGUGGUUUAAUUCGAUGAUACGCGAGGAACCUUACCCGGGCUUAAAUUGCAUUUGAAUAAUCUGGAAACAGGUUAGCCGCAAGGCAAAUGUGAAGGUGCUGCAUGGUUGUCGUCAGCUCGUGCCGUGAGGUGUCGGCUUAAGUGCCAUAACGAGCGCAACCCUUAUCUUUAGUUACUAACAGGUCAUGCUGAGGACUCUAGAGAGACUGCCGUCGUAAGAUGUGAGGAAGGUGGGGAUGACGUCAAAUCAGCACGGCCCUUACGUCCGGGGCUACACACGUGUUACAAUGGGGGGUACAGAAGGCAGCUACCUGGCGACAGGAUGCUAAUCCCAAAAACCUCUCUCAGUUCGGAUCGAAGUCUGCAACCCGACUUCGUGAAGCUGGAUUCGCUAGUAAUCGCGCAUCAGCCAUGGCGCGGUGAAUACGUUCCCGGGCCUUGUACACACCGCCCGUCAAGCCAUGAAAGCCGGGGGUACCUGAAGUACGUAACCGCAAGGAGCGUCCUAGGGUAAAACUGGUAA